rnacentral:rRNA from 1 species
GACGAACGCUGGCGGCAUGCCUAACACAUGCAAGUCUAGGGUGUAGCAAUACACACUGGCGCACGGGUGAGUAACGCGUAGAUCAUCUGCCCCUAUCACCGACAUAACUCUUGGAAACGGGAGCUAAUAUCGGAUGAGGUGAGCAAUCAUCAAAGUUUCGACGGAUAGGGAUGAGUCUGCGUCUGAUUAGGUAGUUGGUGAGGUAAUGGCUCACCAAGCCUACGAUCAGUAGCUGGUCUGAGAGGACGAACAGCCACACUGGAACUGAGACACGGUCCAGACUCCUACGGGAGGCAGCAGUGAGGAAUAUUGGACAAUGGGAGCAAUCCUGAUCCAGCAAUGCCGCGUGAGUGAAGAAGGCC